UACGUAGGGUGCAAGCGUUGUCCGGAAUUAUUGGGCGUAAAGAGCUCGUAGGCGGUUUGUCGCGUCUGCUGUGAAAACGCGAGGCUCAACCUCGCGCCUGCAGUGGGUACGGGCAGACUAGAGUGCGGUAGGGGAGAUUGGAAUUCCUGGUGUAGCGGUGAAAUGCGCAGAUAUCAGGAGGAACACCGGUGGCGAAGGCGGUUCUCUGGGCCUGUACUGACGCUGAGGAGCGAAAGCGUGGGGAGCGAACAGG
rnacentral:rRNA from 1 species